rnacentral:rRNA from 1 species
UCGAGAAUUUUUCACAAUGGGCGCAAGCCUGAUGGAGCGACGCCGCGUGGGGGAUGAAUGGCUUCGGCCCGUAAACCCCUGUCAUUUGCGAACAAGUUGGUUCAAUUAACACCUGAACCAUUGAUAGUAGCGAAAGAGGAAGGGACGGCUAACUCUGUGCCAGCAGCCGCGGUAAUACAGAGGUCUCAAGCGUUGUUCGGAUUCAUUGGGCGUAAAGGGUGCGUAGGCGGCGCGGUAAGUCGGGUGUGAAAUCUCGGAGCUUAACUCCGAAACUGCAUUCGAUACUGCCGUGCUUGAGGACUGGAGAGGAGACUGGAAUUUACGGUGUAGCGGUGAAAUGCGUAGAUAUCGUAAGGAAGACCAGUGGCGAAGGCGGGUCUCUGGACAGUUCCUGACGCUGAGGCACGAAGGUCAGGGGAGCAAACGGGAUUAGAUACCCCGGUAGUCCUGACAGUAAACGGUGCACGUUUGGUGUGGGCGGUGUCGACU